rnacentral:misc_RNA from 1 species
GACGUUACGUCCAAAGCCUUUAUCCACUUUCAAACUACUUCCUUUCCAAAACCCUAAACCAUUCUUCACUCUAUCUCCGGCGAAAUCUUCCCGAUGGGUCUCCUCUCAUGGUGGAAAGGCCAACCUCCGCCAUCGGACUCCAAUCCGAAGUCGCAGCCUCCUCCGAAGAAUGUCUCUCAGCCUGCCGAAGUCCCCGGCCUGAAUGGCGCCGUCGAAGUUCCCCGGCCGGCCGCCUCUGUGACGGUCUUCGAGUUCGGCUCCGUCUCCUCUUCCUCCGAUAAGGUCACUCUCGCCGGAUACUGCCCCGUCUCCGACGACCUUGAGCCCUGCCGCUGGGAGAUUCUGCCGGCAAGCGG